rnacentral:rRNA from 1 species
UACGUAUGGUGCAAGCGUUAUCCGGAUUUACUGGGUGUAAAGGGCGUGCAGCCGGAGAGACAAGUCAGAUGUGAAAUCCACGGGCUCAACUCGUGAACUGCAUUUGAAACUGUUUCCCUUGAGUGUCGGAGAGGUAAUCGGAAUUCCUUGUGUAGCGGUGAAAUGCGUAGAUAUAAGGAAGAACACCAGUGGCGAAGGCGGAUUACUGGACGAUAACUGACGGUGAGGCGCGAAAGCGUGGGGAGCAAACAGG